GGAGCUCUCUUAUCUGUAGGGAGCCCGAGGAGGCAGAGUUGGGUACCCUCUGCCCUGGUUUGGAGCUUGGAGUGUUCUCUGCCCUUUGCCCUCCACCCUCAGAGUCCCAAGAGCAAGUUGCUCCCCCCCCAACCCCCAUCCUCAGACCCACUGCCCCCUCCAGUCUUACCACAUAGCGCAUUUCCCAGGCCUGGAUAGUAGCUUUGAAAGGGAAGAUAACCGUUUUCCUUUCUGCCUUGCGGAGUGGCAACAGACUCUGUUUGCCCUGAAAAAAGUGAAGAGGGCUUGCUGCUCUACUCAAAGGUCCCAGGUUCAGUUCCCAGCACCCACAUCACACAUCACGCAUAGAGACCCAUACAAAAACAUUUUAAAUAUCAUUAUAGAUAAAGAUACUAAGAGCCCUCAUUCUCCACAUGGGGCACAAUAAGGUGUCCUCUGGCAGGCAGAGUUGAGUUCCCUCACCAGCUUCUUCCUGCGUGCAUCAAUCUGACAGAAGUAGGUGCUGAUGUAGAUGUUGUCAAAGCGGAUGUCCCAGUUGUAGUGGUCCAUGUAGGAGAAGGCUCUGUGAGGGAAAGGCAGGGCUGUCUCCAUCUUCCUGCAUCAGUGUCUCCCCAUUCACACCCAGCCACCGGCUUCUGUUAGACACAGUCAUCACAUCAACCGGCAUUCACAGAGCAUCCCUGUCUCUGAAGCCUGGGACAGGUGACCCGGGCAUGAAGGAAGCAGGCUCCACCCUGCCUCUGGUUGUUCAUAGAUAUCCACCCAUGCGAUUGCUGAGACCCGACAGAGAAAGGGAGGGCGUGGCCAGUCUGUAAGUUAGGGGUGGACAUUUGUCUUGCAGGAAGAAUGAAAUAGAUGCAUGGAGUCAGGAAACCCUCCAAAUUGCAGGAAUCACUCAGAACUAUGGCUCCCAUAUUCAUUUUAUUUAUUUGGCUUGCCUUGAACUUGUAGACAUCUGCCUGUCUCUGCCUCUUGAGUGCCGAGACUAAAGGAGAUCUCCACCAUGCCCUCCAGCUUUAUCUGCUCUACACCUCAAACAAAAUUCAGAUCCAGACACCUCCCAUUUUCCAGCACUCCCUGCCCUUCCUGACUUCCCUUGAGCUGUGUGUGUGUGGAGACAUAUGUGUACAUAUGUGAGUAUUCUCUGUGUAGCUCCCAAAGUCCCGAAAAAUACUUGCUUCCUAAGGAAAAAUUCUAAUUGUGAAAACGUGUUAAAAUUUCAAAAAUAUGUUAAACUGCAAACUAUGAAACAUAAAUCCCACUUAUGAAG
rnacentral:lncRNA from 1 species